CGGCCGCGUCGACAAUUCCAGGUGUAGCGGUGAAAUGCGUAGAGAUCUGGAGGAAUACCGGUGGCGAAGGCGGCCCCCUGGACGAAGACUGACGCUCAGGUGCGAAAGCGUGGGGAGCAAACCAGGACUUAGAUACCCUGGUAGUCCACGCCGUAAACGAUGUCGACUUGAAGGUUCGUGCCCUUGAGGCGUAGGCUUCCGGAGCUAACGCGUUAAGUCGACCGCCUGGGG
rnacentral:rRNA from 1 species